CAACGUCGUUCAUUGUUGGCCUUCUACUGGAAUUUGCCGCUACACAAGCCAUUGCCACUUCCGCCGUCUUCCAAACAGAGGAAAAUAAAAGAAAAACGAAGCAAUGAAAUUGAUGACGCUUAAAACUAGUACUUACUCUGGAUCAAGGUAACCAGGUGUGCCAGCGACAACCGUCGACAUGUGGGUGUUGCCAUCGAUGGGAAAGCUUUUGGAAAGACCGAAAUCGGCAAGUUUGCCUUGGAAAUUAUCUGUCAACAAGAUGUUUGUUGUUUUCACAUCUCUGUGAACAAUUGGUGGCUUACAACCGUAAUGCAGUUGUCAAAAACUUAGCGGUGGACAACAGAAAUUCAUAACGCUUUGAUCAGCUUGCAGCAGGAGAGGGACCUUAGCUAUCUUUGCUAGCCUGUUGUCAUCACGUUGCCAGUCGUUUUGAAAUUGGAAUAGGGAAGCUUCAUGUGAUGUCCCACCUUAGUUGGAGAGGAGAACAAAUCACAAUUUAUAAGGGUGUGGAAACCUUCCCCUAGCAGACGCGUUUUAAAGCCUUGAGGGGAAGGCCCAAAGAGGACAAUAUCUACUAACAGUGGAUCUAGGUCGUUACACUUAUCUCUUAGACCUCACACAAGGAGAAGAAGACUCCCUGUAUUUCCAAACUUGAGCGAAGGAAGCUUAAGAUAUGACACUCGAAUGUUGGGGAUCGAUCGUAGACGACAGGAUGGUAACUAGCUUUGACAAGGAGACAACGACGACACCAAGGAAAAAGAGAAGAAAGAUGAGAAAAAGAAAGGUACUCGUAUGAAUAUAGUUUAACGGGUCUAAACGUAUAUNAACUCAAA